ensembl:lncRNA C22orf46P chromosome 22 open reading frame 46, pseudogene
GUGGGCCCCGCCCUCUACGGGGGCACUGGCGCGGAAACUGGCCCUGUGUCGAAGAAGGAACGUACUUUGGCGUUCUUAUGAGCUGCCUAGUACAAAUUAUUGGCAGAAACAAUGAAUUAAACAUUCAAAAAGUAACCCACCGGCCGGCCGCAGCGGCUUAUGGCUGUAAUCCCGGCACUUUGGGAGGCCGAGGCGGGCGCAUCACCUGAGGACAGGAGUUCGAGACCAGCCUGGCCAACAUGGCGAAACCUCGUCCCUACUAAAAAAUACAAAAAUUAGCCAGGCGUGGUGGCGGGCGCCUGUAACCCCAGCUACUUAGGAGGCUGAAGCAGGAGAAUCGCUUGAACCCCGGAGGUGGAGGCUACAGUCCGGCACUGUUGGCACCAGGUCACCAGGACCCGCUUCAGCACAAGGAAUGUCAUCAAGGUGCCACUGCAGAAGCGGGCAGUGCCCUCCAUGAGGUGCGAAACUGUCUUCAAGCUGACUCCUGAAUUCUUCAGUCCUGGAAAGUCCAGGGGCCUAGAUUCUCAACAAUGCGCACAAAGGCAGAGAUGGGGAUACCGGAGGAGCCUCCAGGAAUCAUGGGCCCAGAACCUGCUCUCUCCACAGCACCCAUGUCCAGGCCCACCUUCGGGUGUCCACACCCACUCUGAGCCCAUCUUUUGUACCACCUCCAUUUCAAACACCUGUUUACUGCCUCAGAACAGUUCCUGGAAAGCAUGGCAGGUGCCUUGGUGUCUCCAUGAUGGUCAGACUCGCCCUGCCUUGGACAUGUGUCAAGAGAUGGAGCAGCUGCUGCUUCACUCACAGGAAAGCUGAGAGGCUGCAGUUCUGCCCCCAGAGAGCUCCUGCCUGAUCCUUCCCACCAAACACUGAGAAUGUGCACUUGGAAGUCUUGGCACUGUCGACCAGAGGCCUGGGAACCAGGGGGUAAAAACCAGAAAGCAGGCAGAGAGGAUAGUAGAGAGACCCAGGCUCCAAGGUGGGUGAACCAGACAGGGAGCAGACGGGAGGAUGCUUCAGAAAUCCAGGCAUCUGGGGAGUAGUUCCCAGUAGACUUUGGAAUGGAGGGUGAUGCAGAGACUAACGUGUUGGAGUGUGCAAACCAGAGACUAGUAAUAAGUGAAACUGAUGGCGAGAUCUUGACACCAGGGUGGGACACCCAGGACCGGAUGGGAGUUGAGAGUAGAACCAACAUUCAGGAACUAGGGAAUAGAAACCAGAGGGAGGCUGGAGGUGAGAAUCUCCCUGAAACCCAGGCACAUAUGGGAGAGAACCAAGAACAGUUAAGAUGUAAAAUUGAUGCAGAGACCCAAACACCUGAGUGGGAGAACCAGGAUAAGAAUGGAAGUGAGGAUGCUGUGGAGACCCAGACAUUUGAGAAGAAGGACAAGAAAGAGGCUGGAGAGGAGGAUGGGGAAGAGAUCCAGGCUCAAGGAUUGGGGAAGCAAGGCCAGACUGGAGAUGAGAAUGGUGAGGAGACCCAGACACCACAGUGGGAGAAACAAGAUCAGAUGAAAGGUGAUGCGGAUGUGGAAAUUCAGAUGGAAGAGGGGAGAAACAAGGAUCAGGUUGGAGGUCAGGAUGCUGCACAAACCCAAUCAUGUGGGAGGGAGAACGUGGGAGAAGUAAAAAAAGAGAAUAGUGUAGAGACCCAGGCCUUGGAUUGGGGAAAACAGGAAUGUGUUGGAAAUGGGAAUGUUACAGAGAUCCAGACACCAAGGUGGGAGAAGCAUGAUCAAGGUGGAAGUAAGAAAGCUAAGAAGACCCAAGCAUCUGGGGGAGAGAACCAGAAACAAUUAAGUCAUGAAAUUCAAGUGGGGUGGGGAAAUAAGGGCCUGAGAAGAGAUGAAGAUGCUAAGGAAACCCAGAUAGCUACCAAGAAGAAGCUCAGGGAGAUAAGAGAAGGAUUGGGUGGUGAUCCAGGCACUAUGGUGGGGAAACCGGAGACAAGUAGCAAGUGAAAUUUAUAGAGAAUUUGAGAUACUAUGUUGGGAGAAUCAGAACUGGAUUGGAGGUGAACAUAGAGCAGAAAUUCAGGCAUCAGAGAAGAGAGACCAAAGAAAGGAUGGAUGUGAGGAUGGCACAAAUAUCCUGGCACCCGAGGCUGAGAUCCAGGAACAAUUAAAAGGUGAAACUGAUGUGGAGACUCAGAGCAAUGAGCCACUUAGAGAAGAGGAUGGUACAGACAUUCAGUCACUAGGGAGGAGAGAGGUUAAAGGUGAGGAUGAUAAAGACACCCAGGAACUUGGGAGGAAAAAUCAGGGUCAGUUAGGAAAUGAAUUUAGUGGAAAGAUUCACAUACCAAAGGGGAAGAAUCAGGAACAUAUUAGAGGCGAAGAUGGUGCACAUACCCAGAUAUCUGAGUCAGGGAACUGGGGCAAAUUAACAAGUCAAAUUGAUGGAGAAAUGCAUUCAGCAGAAUGGAAGAAAGAUCAGCAGAUUGGAGGUGAGAAUGGGGCAGAAAUUCAGAUACAAGGGAAGAGAAACCUGAGAGAAGUUGGAGGUGAGGACGGUGUAAAGACCUGGGCACCUGGGAAAGAAACCCAGAGUCAGUUUAGAAGUGAUCUUGGUAGAAAGAUCCUUUUAUCAGAGUGGAAGAGCCAGAAGCAGAUGGGAAGUGAGAAUGGAACAGAAAUUCAGGCUCCAGUGGAGAGAAACCAGAGAGAACCUGGAGGUGAGGACGGUGUAAAGACUCAGAGACCUAAGAGAGAGAACGAGGACCAGUUAGAUAGUGAAAUUGGAGGGAGCCAUUCACCAGGGAGGAGGAACUGGGAGCUGAUUGGAAAGGAUGUUGCAGAAAAUCAGGCAUCAGAGAAGAGAAACCAGAGAGAGGUUGGAAACGAGGACGGUAGAAUGAUCUGGAGGCUUAGGGGAAAAAACUGGAGGCUUAGAGCGAAGAAACAGACUGUUAAAAAGUAAAGAUAAUGGAAAGACCCGUUUAUCAGAGUGGAAGAACCAGGAACAGGGUGGAGGUGGGAAUGAUGAAGAAAUUCAAAUACAGGGGAAGAGAAACCUGAGAGGGACCACAGCUGAUGAUGGUACAGAGACCCAGGCUCCUGCAGGAGAUGACCAGGGACAGUUAAGAGUUGAAAUUGCUGAAGAGAUCCAGGUACAAGGGCAAGGAAAUAAGAAUGACGGUGGAGUUGAGGAUGUUGCAGAACUCCAGGAUAUAGGAAGCCAGAGAAAGUGCACAGAUGAGGAUGUUGGAGAGCCUCGAGCACCAAGGGGAGGAAACAAGGAUCUGGUCAGAGGAGAGGAUGCUGUGAGGGACAGUCUCCAAGUCGACUGUUCUGGGAGUGAGAGGCCCACAGGCAGGAAGCACAGCCUACCAUGGCCUCCAGCCUUCACUGGCUAUGGAUGUGGGACCCGGGAACAGGAACAGGCAGUGGCUGUGAAUGGUUUCAUCUCUGCCCCCUGUCCUGAGAUGAAUCCUGUCCCCCACUGGGGUGAAGUCUUCCUGCUGGUGGGUGGGGAGGGAGAGCAUCUGGCCAGCCAGGGCACAACCCCUGCCAGGGAUCAUAGAGUGGGGAUCAGUCCAGCCUCCCAGCAGGCCCAACCUGAAUCCUGGAGAAGACGACAAAGGGACAAAGGGGUGGAUCCAGAGAAGGCCCCCAGCCUGACUCGGCAGUCCCAAAACCCUCCGUCUCUGACAGCUCCCUUGGGCAUGCCCUCUGCCUGCUCCUGUCUCCCGUGUGGCCCAGCCCCGGAAGCUGCCAUCAUUCUAGCGGGUCCUCCCACCGCCCUCACUGUCCUGCCCAAGGGGACAGGCCUCAAGAAGAGCAAACGACUGCUCCUGGAGUCCCUCAUGCGGAGGAGGAUUGCACACCUGAAGUGGGGUCUUCCCCGGCGGAUCCUGGAGUCCUAUUUCCUGUUUAACUUCUUAGGAUCUUGCUCAUUGACCCUUGCUGGGGCGAGGCUCUCUGGACUGAACACAGGCCAGGAGCUCCAAGCCCAGCAGGAAAGGUAUUGUGAGGCCCAAGGCUCCCCACCAGGCCUUAAGUCCCCAGAGAGGUUCCAGAGGGUUCAGCGCCCAGACAGAAAAAGCUCGAAACUUCCUAUACAAGCCAGAGCUCUGGAGAGGAACAGACCGCACAUGUCAGAGCCCAUUAAGCAUUUCCAUCCAGCCUGAAAAGGCCAGGAGAGUCAGGCCACCAGGGGGCGCCAGAGAACCACAGGAGAUCCAGGAAGCGCUUGCUAGGACCAAGCUCCCAGCUCCCAGGACCCCCAGGCCGGCAGCGGAGUCCAGGAGCUGGUGUGGCCCACAAAGGGUCGGAGAGCCUCCCAGUGAGAACAGUAGGGGCAGGAAAAUGAUCAGGUCAAGGGUCUCCCAGCUGGCAGAGAGGGCUCCCAGCAGAGUGAGGACUUCAUUCUCUAGGGCAGACCACGCCCACUGGAGGAAGGAAUGUACAUCCUGGGAGGCCUCUAAGCUCCCCAGACUCAAAUGCCAGCAGCUCACAUACUGGAGAAGAGGAAGCCUGGAAUCUACAGGGUGCAGAGGGGCUGGGCAGCAGCCUUCCUGCCAUUCUGCAGAACCUGUCAGCUUCAAAGGGAGGCUCCACUCUGCGGUGGCAAAGCUGGGCCUGACCCUUCUGGCCAAGAUGUCCUGGUCCCCACAGCUCGCCAAGCGCAAGCACUUGGCCCCUAACCUGAGCCUGAGGGAACCUGAUUCUACUCUGCCUCCCAAAGUGGGUGAUCCUCGUGCAGGGGAGGACAGCAUCGGAGAUCACACUGCUUCACAGAGGGAUCUUCAGCUGCAAGGUCACUGCUGUACUGGGGCCACCCUUCCUAAGACAGAGAGUCCCCAGGGCCAGGAGGCACCUGGGAACCCAAAUGGGGCUCCACAGAAUACACGAGCCUCCAAAAAGUUUAGUAUUAUGAAGCAUCUGAAUUUUUUUCUCUUCCAGAAUGGCUUUAAAAAGUAGACUCAGGCCCAGAGUCCUCAGGACAUAUCAGAAAAGCUUUGAGAGUGUCCUGAUCCCUGCAAAGCCUCUAAUAAAUUGGUCAUUUGGGC